UUGCGNNUGGAGGAACUCUGACGCAGCGACGCCGCGUGGGUGAUGAAGGCCUUCGGGUCGUAAAGCCCUGUCGGAAGGGAAGAAAAGCUUGUUGGCUAAUAUCCAGCGAGCCCUUGACGGUACCUUCAAAGGAAGCACCGGCUAACUCCGUGCCAGCAGCCGCGGUAAGACGGAGGGUGCAAGCGUUGUUCGGAUUGAUUGGGCGUAAAGGGCGUGUAGGCGGUUCGUUAAGUCGGGUGUGAAAGCCCGGGGCUCAGCUCCGGAAGUGCGCCCGAAACUGGCGAGCUGGAGCGCGGUAGAGGAGGGUGGAAUUCCUGGUGUAGCGGUGAAAUGCGUAGAUAUCAGGAGGGACACCGGCGGCGAAGGCGGCCCUCUGGACCGUUGCUGACGCUGAGACGCGAAAGCGUGGGGAGCAGACAGGAUUAGAUACCCUGGUAGUCCACGCUGUAAACGAUGGGUACUAGGUGUUCGGGGUGUUGACCCCCUGAGUGCCGACGCUAACGCAUUAAGUACCCCGCCUGGGGACUACGGCCGCAAGGUUAAAACUCAAAAAAAUUGACGGA
rnacentral:rRNA from 1 species